AUCGAGGUGGGCGGGCUGUUCGAGCUCCUGUCGCACGUGAAGGUGCCUGGAGGGCUACCCGCGAGAAGUCGCGCCCAAACCGCAGUGGAGAGCGGUCGGCCCUGGUGGCUGGCGAGUCUCGAAGCUGGUGUGUCGGUCAAAAUCCAUGUGGACGGGGCAUAGAUAGCUAACCCCAGUGGUCGCCCGCUUCUUAAACGUGUUGCGGCAUACUACGGGACGCUUUGCCUUCGAGAGGUCAGCUGCGCACCGCCCUGCCAUGCAGGGAUGCAUCGCCAUCUAGGUGUUGCUCAGUUUGCCACACCCUCGCUGCUGGUAGCGUUCGGCAGGUUCUGCUUCCCGUCACCCCCUCGAAUCCAAAAAAACACCCACCCUUGAGCAUGAGCACCCAUCCGUUUCCUCGGCAGGCCAGCCUGCCGGUGGACACCCCAAUAAAACCUCCUGUCAUCAGCAGUGUCGGUCUGAGAACUAUAAAAUAUCAAAACUUUCAACAACGGAUCUCUUGGUUCUGGCAUCGAUGAAGAACGCAGCGAAAUGCGAUAAGUAGUGUGAAUUGCAGAAUUCAGUGAAUCAUCGAAUCUUUGAACGCACAUUGCGCCCUCUGGUAUUCCGGAGGGCAUGCCUGUUCGAGCGUCAUUUCGACCCUCAAGCUCUGCUUGGUGUUGGGCGCCUUGUCCCCCCAUGACCCGGGGACUCGCCUCAAAAUCAUCGGCGCCGGUGGUCCGGUCUGGAGCGCAGCAGAUCGCUGCUCCUGUACCUGCAGCCCGCUGGCUUCCGCAAGCUGCGAAGUCUACGCUGAAACUUGACCUCGGAUCAGGCAGGGAUACCCGCUGAACUUAA
rnacentral:rRNA from 2 species